rnacentral:misc_RNA from 1 species
GGUUGGAUCAUUAACGAAUUCAUAUGGUUCCGAGUUGUUGCCAUGGCCCUCGGGCUGUGGCGCGGCUCGGACUAUAUUAUCACCCCUCUUGUGAACCGUAAACGUACUUUGGCAGCCCUCCAAACCUCCAAUCGCGGAGAAUCUCUUUUUCCGCGGUUGGAAUGGGCUGUCAGCUUUCAUGCUAAACACCUGUUAUUUUACAAAUGAGUUUUAUAAAUGAGCAGCGAAAAGACCUUUUUUGUUAAAAGAGGGUUGGUAUCAAAGCUACAUUUCUUUAUUGAAAUGAUUUGAAAAAACAACUUUUGACAACGGAUCUCUUGGCUCUCGCAACGAUGAAGAACGUAGCGAAUUGCGAUAAGUAGUGUGAAUUGCAGAAUUCAGUGAAUCAUCGAAUCUUUGAACGUACAUUACACUCUUUGGUAUUCCGAGGAGUAUGUCUGUUUGAGAACCGUUUCAUUCCCUCACCAAUCUACUCGUUUCCUUGGAAACUGUACAUUGAGUGGAUUUGAGCUCUUCAGCGAUCAAAGGCUGAGGCUUGAAAUGGAUAAUCGAUGGUUUGAGCGCAAAAGCUCGGUUGUUCUCUUUUUUGAAAACAAUCGAAAAUAGGCUUUGAAUCGAUAGACUUGAUGAUGAGGGAUUUUGCAUCCUUCUUUUUCUUCAGUCGUUCUGAUUUUUGAAGUUGCUUUGGUUCCCACCGAUGAAACGAUUUUUAACAUGCCAGGCAUUCUCGACUUUUUGUCGGAAUGAACACCUGAACUCAUGGUCUCAAAUCAGACAAGAGAACCCGCUGAACUUAAGCAUAUCAAUAAGCGGAGGAAAAGAAACCAACUGGGAUUCCCUUAGUAACGGCGAGUGAAGCGGGAAAAGCUCAAUUUUGAAAUCUCUCAGGUUCCCUGAGCGAAUUGUAGUUUCUAGAAGCGCUUUCGGAGGCAGUCCGGGUAAAAGUCCGUUGGAACGCGGCAUCAUGGAGGGUGAGAAUCCCGUACCUGAUCCGGUAUCUGCUUCUGUGUGAUGCGUUUUCAAAGAGUCGGAUAGAUUGAGAAUUCUGUCCAAAAUGGGUGGUAAAUACCAUCUAAAGCUAAAUAUUGGCGAGAGACCGAUAGCGAACAAGUACCGUGAGGGAAAGAUGAAAAGAACUUUGAAAAGAGAGUUAAACAGUACGUGAAAUUGUCAAAAGGGAAACGCUUGAAACCAGUAUUGCGAUGCGCAAAUCAGUCGUUCCUUAGAACGGUGCACUUUGCGUUUUUGCGGGUCAGCAUCAGUUUUGUUCGGAGUAAAAAACUUUUGGAAGGUAGUUCCUCGUGAAUGUUAUAGCCAAGAGCCAUGCUUUGAACGGGACUGAGGUCUGCAGCUCUGCUUUUGGGACGUCUUCAGCCCUCUGACGUUCGGUAACGGACAGCUUGCUGAUCGCUGCCACACUUAGGAGGCCCUGGGGGCUUACACAACUGAGCUUAGGAUGCUGACGAAAUGGUUUUAAACGACCCGUCUUGAAACACGGACCAAGGAGUCCAACAAUUAUGCGAGUGUUUGGGUGGCAAACCCGAGCGCGAAAUGAAAGUGAAUGCAGGAGGGAUCCGCAAGGAGCACCUUCGACCGGUCUGGAUUUUUUUGAAAGAUCUGAGUAAGAGCAUAAUUGCUGGGACCCGAAAGAUGGUGAACUAUGCCUGAAUAGGGUGAAGCCAGAGGAAACUCUGGUGGAGGCUCGUAGCGGUUCUGACGUGCAAAUCGAUCGUCAAAUUUGGGUAUAGGGGCGAAAGACUAAUCGAACCAUCUAGUAGCUGGUUCCCUC